ACGGGUGAGUAAUGCAUCGGAACAUAUCCAGUAGCGGGGGAUAACCUGUCGAAAGAUAGGCUAAUACCGCAUACGACCUACGGGUGAAAGCGGAGGACCGCAAGGCUUCGCACUAUUGGAGUGGCCGAUGUCGGAUUAGCUAGUUGGUGAGGUAAAAGCUCACCAAGGCGACGAUCCGUAGCUGGUCUGAGAGGGUGAUCGGCCACACUGGAACUGAGACACGGUCCAGACUCC
rnacentral:rRNA from 1 species